rnacentral:rRNA from 1 species
UACGGAGGAGGCAAGCGUUAUCCGGAAUCAUUGGGCGUAAAGCGUCCGUAGGUGGUUGGUCAAGUCUGCUGUUAAAGCGCGGAGCUUAACUCCGUAUCGGCAGUGGAAACUGGUCAGCUAGAGUGCAGUAGGGGUCGCGGGAAUUCCCAGUGUAGCGGUGAAAUGCGUAGAGAUUGGGAAGAACAUCGGUGGCGAAAGCGCGCGACUGGGCUGUAACUGACACUGAGGGACGAAAGCUAGGGGAGCGAAAGGGAUUAGAUACCUAGUAGUCC